rnacentral:lncRNA from 1 species
UAGACAAUCGAAAACAAAAGUUCAUAUUUACACUAUUAUAUAUAUAUAUAUAUAUAUAUAUUUUUUUUUUCAGUAUGUGGACCAAAACAUUUGCAACAGGUCCAAAAAUGGAACCAAGAGAAGUUAUUAUUAAAAAAAUUACAGAAAUGGGAUUUACAGAAGACCAAGAAAAAGUACAAAAAAAAAAACAAAACAAACAAAACAAAAAUUAUACAAUAUUAUCUAAAAAAAAAUUAUGUUUUGAGGAAUUAAUCUUAUUUUAUAAUUUUUUUUCUCUAUUUUUUGUAGAACGCUUUGAUAAAGGCAGAUUGGAAUGAAACAGUGGCAUUAAAUACCCUACUAGAGAAUUUAUAAUUUAUUCAUUAGACAAAAUUACAUUACUAUUACGUUGUUUAAUACAAAUAUUUUUUUCUUAAAAAUGUUUAGCAUAUAAAAUUAAGAAUGUUGUUAAUUUUUUUUCUUUUCUUAUUUUUUUUCUUAAUUCAAAUAUUUACAUUUUAUUAAUAUUACCAUUUUUAAUAUAUAAAAAAUUUUGUUUAUUUUAUAACAAUUUUAAAUGAUUUAUUUUAUGUUUUUUUUUUUUUUUUUUCACGUAUAAUUUUGUUUAAAUUAAAUAAAAUUUUUUUCUCUUUAAAAAAAAAUUAAAAA